AUUGAACGCUGGCGGCAGGCCUAACACAUGCAAGUCGAACGGUAGCACAGAGAGCUUGCUCUCGGGUGACGAGUGGCGGACGGGUGAGUAACGGCUGGGAAACUGCCCGAUGGAGGGGGAUAACUACUGGAAACGGUAGCUAAUACCGCAUAACGUCGCAAGACCAAAGCGGGGGACCUUCGGUCCCCACACCAUCGGAUGUGUCCAGAUGGGAUUAGCUAGUAGGUGGGGUAAUGGGUCACCUAGGCGACGAUCCCUAGCUGGUCUGAGAGGAUGACCAGCCACACUGGAACUGAGACACGGUCCAGACUCCUACGGGAGGCAGCAGUGGGGAAUAUUGCACAAUGGGCGCAAGCCUGAUGCAGCCAUGCCGCGUGUAUGAAGAAGGCCUUCGGGUUGUAAAGUACUUUCAGCGGGGAGGAAGGCGGUGAAGUUAAUAGCUUCACCGAUUGACGUUACCCGCAGAAGAAGCACCGGCUAACUCCGUGCCAGCCGCCGCAGUAA
rnacentral:rRNA from 1 species